UCCUUUCUCAUGGAGAAAGCUUCCCUACACAGUGAAGCUAAACUUCAGGAGAAAGCAGAAAUGAGAGAAGAAACAGGGAUGUUCCUGACAUCUUUUGAGCACUUACAGGGCAAGAGGAGAGCUUGGGAGAUGAGCCAUUUCAGGAGGGCUGGGGUGAAACCAAGACAGGCGCCCCUCAAAGUGGAGAAGCUAGAGCAGGAUAUUUUCCUGACCCCUUCAAGGGACUCACGACGGGAUGCUUCAUUUACUCAGCUCACCGCUCUCAAUCCUUGUGGGAGGCAGUGUGUGUAAGCGAACAAGAUGGGAACUGGAGUGCAUGAGCACUGGCCAUUUCAACGCCGGCUGGAUCAAACUCCACUGACUCAGACCCACUACAUUCCACCCCUCACAGGAGGGAACACAUAGGUUAAAGGACCAAAAAGCUGUCUUUGAAUAUGAGCCACGUAUUUCGUAUGUUACAGCAUUUGGACACUUAAAGCCUCUGCCCAUCUCCUGCCUCCCAAAUGUG